CCCUGGGCAAGUCACUUAACCCCAUUGCCUAGCAAAAAAACAAAAACAAAAACAUAUGCUUGGGGUAGACACCCCACCAAUUCACUGAAGGGUUGGAGACCCCUCAGUUACCCUUAACCUGGUUUAGCCUGUCUGCCAAAACAGUUUACUGGGUGUGGCCACUGUGUAUGUCAUAGCUUCUCAUAAUAGCUGGGAGUUGUGUGGCAGGUGGACACCAAGACGUACUAGUCUUUGCUAAAUGUUCAUACUGCCCAAGGAAGCUGAUGAGAUCACCAAGUAAAGUAGUAGUGUACAGGGAGCAAAGAAGUCCCAGGACAGAGCCCUGUGGAAUGCCUAUGGGUAGAAGACAUAAUCUGGAAGAGGAUCCAGCAAAGGAGACAAAGAAGGAGCAGUCAGAGAGGAUGAGAACCAGGAGAGAGUGGUGUCUCAAAAACUUAGAGUGAAAAGAGUAACGAGGAUCCUGAGGAAUCAGUCACAUUCAAGGACGUGGCUGUGGACUUCUCCUGGGAGGAGUGGGGGCAGCUGGCCCCUGCCCAGAAGGAGCUUUACCGGGAGGUGAUGCUGGAGAACUACCAGAACCUGGUGUGUCUGGGUGAGGAGGGGCGCCUGGGUCUUGGAAUCUCCCCCUGGGGGGGCUCUGCUUCCUCCUGCAGCUGGUCCUCUUUCAGUGUGGACUCGCUGUUAUUUUGCAUCCACACGGUGUGUCUGGGUGAGGAGGGGGCACCCCAGGUCUUGGAAUCUCCCCCUGGGGGGGCUCUGCUUCCUUGUACAGCUCAUCCUCUUUCAGUGCAGACACGUAAGAUGCCCGCUCUGAUGGGACAGAUUGUGCUUUGGGCUUCAGCCCAGGAUCCUUGAGGUUUAAACCCACUUUUCCUCCACACCCUAAAGGAGAAAGAUCCUUGCAGUAACAAGUCCCAGUGCAGACAGGUAUGAAUACAUGAGUGGUUCCUAGCCUUUUAGCAAGAUCAAAUGAAAAAUCCUUUUUCUGACCCCAAAUCCAUUCUGGUGCCCUCCCCCCUAGUACUUUCUCACGAUACAAAAUGUCCUCGAAGGGUCUGGUUUACUCCCUCCGACCCUCACCCUAGUCUUCCAGACUGCCAGGUGAUCCUCAGAGAGAGAGACAGGAGACAGGCAGGGUGAGGAUUGCAUCAUCAGUGCCCUAUGCUGAGCCCUCUCCCAUCUUCAUUGAAAAGCACUGACAGUUUCCAAAUCUGAUGUAAUCUACCAGUUAGAGCACAGGUGUGCGCCUUGGAUGCCAGACGGGGGCAGGCCCAAGCAGCAGCUAUGCAGGUGGGUGAGCCCAUUGUGUGGCACACAUAAACACAGAAUACCGCUUCUGGGGCCAGAGGACAUAAGUUCAAACAACGCCUCUAAUGAUCACUGUCUGUAACCUUGCUCAAGUUCAGGAGUUUUGUCAUAUUUAAAAUGAGGGGUUGAGGGUCUUCCAGUCAAGAUGGGUUCUUAAAUAGAAGCAGGCUGCCCAGCUCCCCCAGAUCUAUUCCAGCAAAAACCUGAAAUUUACACCAGACCAAAUAAUGAUUAAGAAAUCCACUGAGAAACUGGAGUAAAUGGCUUCUUCACACCAGAACUGCACCAAACAAACAAACAAACAAAAACCACAGAGUUACCUCAGGCAAAUCAUUUAACAGCCAUUUGCUUCAGUUCUGUCAGUUAUGAGAUGGAGAUAAUAAUAACACCUAUUUCCCAGGGCUAUUGGGAUCAACUAGGAUGAUAUUUGUAAAGUGCCUAGCACAAAGUAGGCACUAUUUAAAUGCUACAUAUCAUUAUUAUUAUUAUUAAUAUUAUUAGCAUUUUUGCUUGACUGUUUAUUUAACACAAAGGUCUUUUUUUCUUUACCAUUUUGAAAUUGGGGUUCAGGAGCACUGGGAAUGAGAGAGAGAGGAGAAGUUAACAAAAUUGAUGCCAAACAAAAAGCAAAUGAGUGCCAACUGAAACAUCUUUUAAAAUUCUCAGAAGAGAACAGAAGAAAGACGUGACAAGAAGAACACUUUUGAAAGUAAAGUUUAACCACUCGACAUAUACCCUAAGGAGGUCACUGAAAAGAAGAAAGUCCCCAUAUUACACACCCAAAUAUUUAUAGCUUUUUGUGGUAACAAAAAACUGGAAACAAAAUCAAUGCUCCAUGAUUGGAGAAUUGGAUAAACAAAUUGUGGUACAUCAGUGGAAUGGAAUAUACUGUGUGGUAAGUAAUGAUGUAUGCGAUAGAUACAGAGAAGCUUAGAAAGAACUACAGGAACUGAUGUAGAGUUAAGUAAGGAGAGCCAAGAAAA